GGAGAGGGUUUCGGGAGCCCCAAGGACUGGAUCAGAGUGGAAGCUAAAGAUCUGGUCUGCAGGUGCUCAGCAGGCAGUGACCAGCACUGCACAGAUGCCACAGGCCCAAGUCAGCCCAAAACACUUGAAAACAGGCAGAACUCAGCUACUCCUUCAUUCUCUGUACCCCACAUCUCCAGGGGGGCUUGGGAAGGGCAGUGCUGGAGGUGGCCAGACCUUGCUGUGAUUCUCCAAGACCAAAUCAGCCCAGCUGCCCUCCCAACACCCUGUGUAAAGAGUUGUGCAUCUGUGAAACCUCGCCAGUACUUCCCGCAGUCCCAGCCACGUGUCUUCCGCUCCGUGCCGGGCGAUGCUGGGUCUCAGAAAUGGACCAGCCCCAAGCCUUGCCCUCAGAGAGGGCAAGCAGGCCGAAGGGGUCGCUGCCCUCACAGAAAGAGGACUGAGCAGGAGGCCCAGAGGAGGGAGGGCCAAAUCUGCUGCAGGAAGUCACACAAGCCACUGCCGAUGGACCUGAGGAAACCCUGUGGCUCCAGGAAAACAAAGUGGACCGGAGCCCAUGAAGCCUGUGGAGUCUGCCCCACACCUGGAGUCCCCAUUAACCCUGGAAUUAGCACAGUCCACAAAGCCCUUGGAGCCCCAGAAACCCUGGAGUCCACAGCAAACCUGAAGCGCUCAGUCCCCAAACCCUUCACAGCCCCUAUUUGUCGCUCGCACUGGUUCUCCAGUGGUGAGCGUUUAAACUUGGUCCUGACUACAACCCUUGAAGGCAAAUCCUAUGACUGGUGUUUGGGUAGCCGGAAGGAACAUGCCCCGGCCGGAAAUGGCGUCACAGCCAGGAAAAAUGCGCGUGCAGCUGUAAAACGGGCCGUUCUCAAAUAGCUUUUGAGCCCCUACCGUGUGGCCAAUACCUGAGGGACACAGACAAGAACACUGAAGCCGCCAUAUUUGGUCAGAUUCCAGCUUCCGUGCUUAGUGGCUCUACCCCCUGUCACCCUCUUUGAACUUCGCUGUCCUCACGACACACACCUGGAUGGAACGGGAGCAGGACGUGGCACCCACAGACUCAGGUAGAGAAGAGGCCCUGCAGUGGCCCUGGAUGCCAAGAUAAGGCCCUGGAACUGCAGCUCCUAGGGCCUUGUCCCUGACUCUCUUAUAAUGUGAGCUCCGUGGGAACGGGGACCUUAUCUGUCUUACUUUGUACUUCUAUCACCAGCACCUUGAAUUAUGCCUAAGAUGUAAGAAGUUUUCAAAAAUGUUCAUCAAAUAACUGAAUGGUUGGGUAAGGCGCUGUUACAUGAUUUGAAGCAGAAUCAUGGUUUUCCUCCUUCCCUGCCCGCCCAGUCUCCUCUCCCCUCCCCUCCCCUCUUCUCUCUGUAACCCUGCAAGACUGAUGCACCUGUGGGGUGGGGCUUGGCGGGGCGUCCCUGUGACUGCCAGCAGGUACCCAUGACAUCCAGGGCCUGGGAGGCUGGGAGGAUCCACAGAACAACCAGGCCCACUGACGAGUUAGCCUUCGUGUUGCUCUCCCUCCAUUUAGAAGAGACAAAAUGGCGGGGGAAGAGUCUGGAUAAGAGAUUAUUGCAGUAUUUUUUCACCAAGCUAAAGUCGGAGAUCUGGAUAAGAGUAUUGCAGUAUUUUUUCACCAAGCUAAAGUCGGAGACACAGGAAUGAGAAUGGUAUCCUGGCAUUAGAAGGGCUACAGUUACGUACUGUCCCCUCAGAAUGGAUGACAAC
ensembl:lincRNA